UCGAUCAAUACGACUUUCAUCUGCAGUGUCACCAACGCCCUAGGGAUUGGCAAGGCAGAACAGACCAUCCUGCUCAGAGAGGGACCUCCCAUGAAGCAGUCACCCGGGGCCUUGUCCCCCAAGAUCAUCAUCCUGAUUGUGGUUGUUGUAGUCGUGGUUGUUCUGGGCAUGGGCGUCCUACUGAUUUAUAAGUUCAGACACUCUCGUAAG